rnacentral:rRNA from 1 species
UAGGGAAUCUUCCGCAAUGGGCGAAAGCCUGACGGAGCAACGCCGCGUGAGUGAUGAAGGUCUUCGGAUCGUAAAACUCUGUUAUUAGGGAAGAACAAAUGUGUAAGUAACUAUGCACGUCUUGACGGUACCUAAUCAGAAAGCCACGGCUAACUACGUGCCAGCAGCCGCGGUAAUACGUAGGUGGCAAGCGUUAUCCGGAAUUAUUGGGCGUAAAGCGCGCGUAGGCGGUUUUUUAAGUCUGAUGUGAAAGCCAACGGCUCAACCGUGGAGGGUCAUUGGAAACUGGAAAACUGGAGUGCAGAAGAGGAAAGUGGAAUUCCAUGUGUAGCGGUGAAAUGCGCAGAGAUAUGGAGGAACACCAGUGGCGAAGGCGACUUUCUGGUCUGUAACUGACGCUGAUGUGCGAAAGCGUGGGGAUCAAACAGG